AACGAACGCUGGCGGCAGGCCUAACACAUGCAAGUCGAACGCUCGUAGCAAUACGGGAGUGGCAGACGGGUGCGCAACGCGUGGGAACAUGCCCUUUGGUUCGGAAUAACUCAGGGAAACUUGAGCUAAUACCGGAUAAGCCCGAGAGGGGAAAGAUUUAUUGCCGAAGGAUUGGCCCGCGUCUGAUUAGCUAGUUGGUAGGGUAAUGGCCUACCAAGGCGACGAUCAGUAGCUGGUCUGAGAGGAUGAUCAGCCACACUGGGACUGAGACACGGCCCAGACUCCUACGGGAGGCAGCAGUGGGGAAUCUUGGACAAUGGGCGCAAGCCUGAUCCAGCCAUGCCGCGUGAGUGACGAAGGUCUUCGGAUUGUAAAGCUCUUUUGCCAGGGACGAUAAUGACGGUACCGUGAGAAUAAGCCCCGGCUAACUUCG
rnacentral:rRNA from 1 species